CACGUAGGGUGCGAGCGUUGUCCGGAAUUAUUGGGCGUAAAGAGCUCGUAGGCGGUCUGUCGCGUCGGCUGUGAAAUCCCCGGAGCUCAACUCCGGGUCUGCAGUCGAUACGGGCAAACUGGAGUACUGCAGGGGAGACUGGAAUUCCUGGUGUAGCGGUGAAAUGCGCAGAUAUCAGGAGGAACACCGGUGGCGAAGGCGGGUCUCUGGGCAGUAACUGACGCUGAGGAGCGAAAAGCGUGGGGGAGCGAACAGG
rnacentral:rRNA from 1 species